AUACAGCUAGAUAACCAAAGA
rnacentral:miRNA from 2 species